CGAACCUUUCAAGAAAUUUGUGGAUUUUGAAAUUCUAUCGUCCGUGAAUUAAAGUCGCUUGGUUUUUAAAAGAAAAAAAAAAAUUUAUUGUUCUAUAUUUAAAAAAAUAAAAGAAAAAAGGAGAAAAAAUAAAAGUAAAAAAAUUUUACACAAUUAAUUUUUAUUUCUUGAAAUAAAUAAAAUUUGAAAUUUAAAUAUUUUUUACUUUUAAAAAUAUUUUUUUUUUUAUAAAUUUUUUCUUUUGAAAAAUCAAAUAGAGUAGUACGACUUAAGAAUAAAAAAUAUUUUUAAGUGAAUUCCGCCAUAAUAGAUUGAUGAUAGAAAAAAAUUCACAAAAAACAAAAAACAAAAAAAAAAAUUAAACAUAACAAAAUUCUAAUUGCAUAUAUAAAAAAAAAGUAUUAUUUAUUGCCACUUAUUUAACUUAGAAAAAAAAAAAUUAGAAAAUUAUUUGUGCUUCUAAAAAUUUUUUCUUAAUAAAAUUCUUAAUUAAAAAUUCUAUAAUUCUACAUAAAGUAUUUUAAAGUAAAUAAUUAACAAAACAAAAAUUCAUCCAAAAAAGUUUGAUUUAACAAAAAUAAAUAUUAAAGAUUAGAAAAAUACAAAAGGAAAAAAUCUAAUAAGAAAAAAGAUCAAUUGAAAUUUGUUAUACAUAUACAAAAAUCCUAAAUUGAAAAAGUAAAAGUUUUACAAGAAAAAAAAUUUCAUAUUAGAAAAAUCGAUAUAUUGAUUGGCUCUAUAAAAGAAAAAUAAAAAAUAAAACCAAAAAGAAAAAAAGUGAACUUCCAACACACUUACAAAAAAAAAAAAUUUGUUGGAGAAAAUUUCCCCUUCAGCAAAAUAUAUAAAACAAAAUUUGAUAUAAUAUAGAACACACUACACUACCCUUUCAUUAAAAACAAAGAGAAAAAAAAUAAUGACAAACGCUGGUGGUGUUGAAACACAAGCAAUUAAUCAAACAGCAGCAGGGCAACAACAACAAAUUCAAUUACAACAGCAACAACAAGUACAGCAGGCAAUUAUGCAAGUUCAACAGCAACAAGCUGCAGCUGCUGCUGCCGCUGCAGCAGCAGCAGCUGCUAAUCCAGUCGGUGGUGUUUUAGCACAAGCCGCAAAUCAAGCAGCUGCUACACAAGCUGCAGUCGCUGCUGCAGUACAACAAGCACAGGUUCAAGCAGCUCUACAACAGCAAAACGGUAAAAUUAUGGAAACAAAUGAAACUCGAACAAAUCUUAUUGUUAAUUAUUUACCACAAACGAUGACUGAAGAUGAAAUUCGUUCAUUAUUUUCAAGUAUUGGUGAAAUUGAAAGUGUUAAAUUGAUCCGAGAUAAAAACCAAACAUUUUUGGAUCCAUUAAAUCCAAAUGCAAUUAAAGGUCAAAGUCUUGGUUAUGGUUUUGUUAAUUAUGUUAGACCACAAGAUGCAGAACAAGCUGUUAAUGUAUUGAAUGGACUACGUUUACAAAAUAAAACAAUAAAAGUAUCAUUUGCUCGACCAAGUUCAGAUGCAAUUAAAGGAGCUAAUUUAUAUAUAUCUGGUUUACCAAAAUCAAUGACACAACAAGAAUUGGAAAGUAUAUUUUCACCGUUUGGUUCAAUAAUAACAUCACGAAUUUUACAAAAUGCUGGUAACGAAACACAAACAAAAGGUGUUGGUUUUAUAAGAUUUGAUAAAAGAGAAGAAGCAACACGUGCUAUAAUUGCAUUAAAUGGUACAACACCAAAAGGUUGUACAGAUCCUAUUGUUGUAAAAUUUUCGAAUACACCUGGCACAAAUACAAAAUUAUUGCAGCCACAAUUACCAGCAGCAUUUUUGAAUCCACAAUUAGUGAGAAGAAUUGGUGGUGCAAUGCAUACACCAGUUAAUAAAGGUCUUGCACGUUUCUCACCAAUGGCCGGUGAUAUGUUAGAUGUUAUGUUACCAAAUGGAUUGGGAGCAGCAGCUGCUGCUGCUGCAACUGUUGCUGCUGGACCUGGUGGAGCAUAUAGUAUAUUUAUAUAUAAUUUGGCACCCGAAACUGAAGAGAGUACUCUCUGGCAAUUGUUUGGACCAUUUGGAGCCGUACAAAGUGUUAAAAUCGUUAAGGAUCCAUCAACAAAUCAAUGUAAAGGUUAUGGAUUUGUAUCAAUGACUAAUUAUGAUGAGGCUGCAAUGGCAAUCAGAGCCCUAAAUGGUUAUACAUUAGGGAACAGGGUAUUACAAGUCAGUUUCAAAACCAACAAACCGAACUUAUUUUAAAUCAAUAUUGUCUAAAGCCCAUUUAAGAACAAAUCUUGAAGCAAAACAAUUAUUAAAUCCAAAUUUAAUGUUUUAGCAAACUAAAAGAACCAUGCCUAAAAGAACAUUGAUGAAUUCGACCAAAGGUGUAAAAUUGGUGUAAUAUCAAAUUUAUUAAAGCACACAUUUCUCUAUUUAUUAAUCCAUGUUUAAGUGUAAAUGGGACGAAAACAGAAAUAAGAAAUAAUCAUCAACAGAACCUUCAAGUUUUUUUAUAUUUAAAUAUUUUAUGUACUCUUUUGUUUUUUUUCUUCCUCUUAAACUAAAUUUAACCUUGUCUUAAUAAAAUAUAUGAUUGUUAAUAUAAGACUUGGUUUAGGAAAUAAUUUUUGUUUUUUUUUUUUUAUAACAAAUAUCAAUGAGAACGAAGCUACUAAAAGUUUCGAUUAUUUCGUAAAUGCUCUCAUAAUCUCAAUAAAAUAUUAAGUAAUGAAAAUAAUUAAAAAAUUGAAUUUUUAAAUCACAUUUAAAGAAAUUUAUUUAAAAUAAUUUGCAAUUCAAAAAAAAAAAAAACAGAAAGUAUUUAUUUAUUUAUUUUAUUUUUAUUUCUUUUUGCAAUAAUGUUAGAAUAUAUAUUUAUUGUAUAAAUGUGAGCUCUAACGAAAUGAUUCGUAAAAUAUGAGAAAAACAUUUUUUCUAACAUAAUUAUAUAUACAAGAACAAAGAAGUAAAAAAAAAAAGAUUAUUUAUAAUAUGCUUUACAAAAAUCAUAAUAUGUAAUUAUACAUAAAUGUACUAAAAUAUUAUAACGACUUUAUAAAAAUAAAUAUUAAACGUAAACCUAUAAAUAUUGUGCACCAUACAUAAGAUUUAAUAAAUAAAUAAAAAAAAAACAAACAAUUUGUAAUCAAACAGAAAUAAUUUUAGUUCUUAAUUUUAAGAGAUCAUAUUUUUUUUUUUUAAUAGCGAUUAAGUUUUCUUAAUAAUUACAAUAAAAAAAAUUGAAUAUAAAUGCUAAAAAGAAUAUAAAUCAAACGAGAGAUAUGGCAAAAAAUUUUUGUUCAUAAAAAUAAAAUAAUUUAUUUAAAUUGAACAUUUCUAAUAAAUAAUAACUUAAAAAAAAUAUAUAUUAACAAAAAUGGAAGAUUUCAAAAUAGGAUAAAAGAAAAAAAAAAAACUAAAAGCGUUUCUAGUCAAAAUAUUUUAAAAAUUAAAA